CGGAGGCAGUGGAGAAGAAGCGCAACGACGUCGUUUGCGAAUCUACUGAGAAUUGUGGCCCUAUUUCGAUGGAUGAAGAUGACGACACUUUUGAAGUCAUUACUUUCUCUAGGCGCUUACCCAAACGCAUCGAAUCACAGUUGCAGAAAGAUUGGCCGAUGGUGAAAUCUAAACUGAAGGAUUAUGGCAUUGCAUGCCAAUUGAAAUCUGGUGAAAUGUUCCAUGACGUUCUCCACAACCAGGACUAGGGACGCGGAUCUUAUUGAAAAAGCUAGGGAUCUUCUUCAGCUUUUGACAUUAGCUGUUCCUGUAUCUCAGGCCAUAACAAUACUGAAGGGAAGGCACUGGGACGUCAUGAAGUUGGGGUAUCAAAAAGAUGGGCUUUGCUCAGAUUUGGAAUCAACAAGGAGAAAUUUCAUGAACGGCUGAAACUUCUCUGCCACCCUUCCUUAAAG